ACUACAACAUUUGUUGUCUUUAGCAACACUUUUUUAUGCAACUCGUAUAAACUGUUACCUAAAAGUGGCUUAGCUAACAUGUUAUGACUGUUGCCAGUUCUCUUUAGGCAGCGAUAGAUAAUUGUUCCCUGAAAUCGAAAAGGGAACACUUUCAGACUGUUACUCUAAUAUUUCUUUUGCAAUGGUUAAUAACUGUGCCUAUAGAUAUUUGUGGGGACAGUUUUAAUUUGUUACAUUAUUUUUGACAUAAAGCAACAUUUAUCAACAAUUGCUUUUAAUAUUCAGCAUUUAACAAUUAUAUUACUUUAUUUUUUUUUCCUGUAAAAAAGACUAAUCUCAUCCCAUCCAUACACAAACAAGUUUGAGAGUUAAACCCCACCGUGUGGCUUCCUUCUCCUCCGUCUCCAAGUUUCAGAAAAGAUAUCUCUUCAAAUACCACACAAUCGAAAAUCCACCUAAAUCCUCCCCAAUCUGUAGCUUUAUAAAUUCUCUCUCACCGCUCAAUCCCUAGAUUUUUAGGGUUUCCAAUCUAUUCUCUCACACCAUUCAAUCCCUAUAUUUAUAGGGUUUCUGAUACAUUCCUCUUUAUCGUAUUUCUCGUAUUUUUUAUUUGACCAAAAUUAAUGGCUUCAAUUUGGAUACCCUAUCUCAGUGGCGUCAUAGUUUCAGAGAUUAGCUAGCGGAGUUGGUGGCUACGAUAAGGGUUUUGAUCGGUAUGCUUUAGCUUAAGCUUGAACACUGAGAAGGAAUUAGUAGAAUGCAGAUAUGGAUUUGUCGAAGGAGUUUGGGUUUGUUUAUUCUUAUUUUCUUUGUUUUUUUUUCUGGGUUUGUUUGUUAUUGUUGCUGUGGAUGAAUUUUUUGUGAUGUUUAGUUAUGAGAUUGUGGUUGAACAUCCCGCUAUUAUGCAGGAGGAAGCACUGUAAUGUCUUAACUCACUAUUAUGCAGGUAUUUUGCACAGUGUUGAACAACAUCAACUUGUUAUAUCAUGAAUAAUGCAGUACAACUAAGUGAGAAGAAGGAAUUAACUGAAACAUGCCUUAAAACAAACUACUUUGGUGUAGGUGAACAUUAGAGAACUUGGCAUUUACUUUUAGCAAGAAAGGGGCAUAGUUGCCAAAAUCAAGUUAACAUUCAUUAAUUCUCAACUCCAAGUAGGUAAAGGUACACAUGUUUAAGUGGCAAAUAAUUAUAAUUAUGUGCUUAUAUUUAAAUUCAUUUUCUUAGAAUAUGCAGACAAAUUCGAUCCUUACUAAGCAAUUGAAAAUUGUGGUGCAGGAAGCAAUUUACUCUUAACACAGUGAUUUUGACUAGAAACUUAACUUGUCUGAUUGUGAGUUAUUUGCAAUUCAAUUUUCUACUACUAAUUUCAUAUUGUCUACACUUUUUAAGUUAUUUCUAACCUGUGUAUCUGACCUUAAAUUAUGUAAGCCUAUCUAAUUGUUUGAUUUUAGCUCUUCUUUUAUUUAAUUUAAUUAUUCAAUUAACUAUGUAGACACCACUGUGUUUGGUUUUACAGCCCUCUACCAUCUAGAGGAAGUCCAGGUAUUGUUGUUUAUAUUUAAGAGUUGUUGUAGUCUUGUUGUUGAGCUGCAUGGUUAUUUAUACUGAGACAAAACUUCUGAAGUGUAUUGGAUAUCUUGUUAAGUUGUGAGAAAUAAAGAAGCAAACGAGUUUGUAAAAGGAACCAUCACUUAUUCUCAUAUUCCUAAGAGAUAGUUCAGAUAUGAAAUUGAAUUUUCAAUGAAAUGGCUAGAUGUAAUUUGGUACAUUUACAUUAUAGAGGAUAGUGAUACUCUAAUUUUGUAAUGGCAAUAUGCAUUCUAGUGUAUAUAGGGUCUGUUGUUAGCAUAACUAGUGAGAUUCUAGUUCAAUUUUUGUUCAACUAUUUGAUUAAUUUGGUGUAGCAGGUUCUGCAUUGGAGCAAUACGAUCAAAAGGGAUUACGAUCAAAGAAAUGUUGGAAUUGAUCAAGAACAUUGAAAAGUAGCAAAAGGCAUGUUAUAGGUGGUUCUUCAUAUGAUUAUGCAACCAAGAUAGUGGGGGCAAUGAAAAGAAAUUUACAAUUUACACCAAAAGUGUCCAAUUUUAGUUGUAUUGGUUUUGAGAUAUUGUCUUAAUUUGUAUAUAAGUAGUCAUGGGAGAAGUAACAAUGACUUUAUGUGUUUUAUAGUAAUAGUUCAUGUUGCUACUUUUUAGUACCCAUAGAAAGGAGGUACUCUGUUAUGCAAUUUUGUAAUACUACAUAUAUUUGAAUGAAGGAGUUCAUAUAUUUGCCUCA